rnacentral:lncRNA from 1 species
AUGUGCUCGACGCCCGGGCUGCCGACGCCGGGGGCCUCGCUGGUGCUGCGGGUGUCCUUCGUGGACGUGCAGCCCGAGGUGAUUCCCGUGCAGCUGUGGGGGCUGCUGGGCGAGCGGCGAGACGAGUACGUGCGGCUGAGCCGGGAGAUCCAGGAAGCGGCGGCGGCUGCGCGUGGCCCGUGGAUGCUGGGCGGUGCCUCGGCCUUGCCUGGCGAGCUGUGCCUGGUGCAGGUGGGCAGGCUGUGGCACCGCGGCCGCGUGGUCAGCCGGCAGGCGCAGGAGAGCCGGGUCUUCCUGCUGGACGAGGGCCGCACCAUCGCGGCCGGGGCGGGCUCGCUGGCUCCCGGGCGCAGCGAGUUCUUCCACCUGCCGUCGGAGGUGCUGGGCUGCGUGCUGGCCGGCCUGGUGCCGGUGGGCGGCGGCGGCGCGGGCGGGGGCGAGCCCCAGCACUGGGCGGCCAGCGCUGUGGACUUCCUUAGGCACCUGCAGGGCAAGGAAGUGCACGGGCGCGUCCUGGACGUGCUGCUGCUCCACCGGCUGGUCCUCCUGGAGGUGCCCGAGCUGUCCCAGCAGAUGCAGGAGCUCGGCCUGGCUCGGCAGGUGCCUGACGGCGUCUUCCGCUCCCUGCUAAAGCGCUGCCUCUCGGCCGCAACGCCUACCCUGGGCCCCAGGGCCCCGGUGGUCCCGCGAGUUCCCCCUAAGCAGGAGCAGCCUGGCCUGGAUUACUUCUACCCUCAGCUGCAGCUGGGCGUGACGGAGCCCGUGGUGGUUACCCAGGUGUGCCAUCCCCACCGCAUUCACUGCCAGCUCCGCAGCCUCUCGCAGGAGAUCCACCGCCUCUCCGAAAGCAUGGCUCAGGUAUACCGGGGCUCCCCGGGGACUGGGGACGAGCGCUCUACCAGUGCCCCCUGGGAGGAGAGAGAGGAGAGCCCAGACAAGCCUGGCUCUCCUUGCGCAUCCUGCGGGUUGGAUGGACUUUGGUACAGGGCGCUCUUGCUUGAGACUUUCCGGCCCCAGCGCUGUGCCCAGGUGCUUCACGUCGACUAUGGAAGGAAGGAGUUAGUGAGUUGUAGUAGCCUCCGCUACUUGCUGCCUGAAUAUUUUCGGAUGCCUGUGGUGACCUACCCUUGCGCACUGUACGGACUCUGGGAUGGUGGGAGAGGUUGGUCUCGGUCACAGGUCGGUGACCUGAAGGCACUGAUUCUGGGCCAGGCAGUGAACGCAAAGAUUGAAUUUUAUUGUUCCUUCGAGCAUGUGUAUUACGUCACCUUAUAUGGCGAAGAUGGGAUUAAUCUUAACUGUGUGUUCGGAGUACAGUCCUGUUGCUUGGCUGACCGGUUCCUUCAGAGCCAGGGCAGAGAAGAGGAGGAAGAGGAGGAAGAACCGGAAACAGCUUUUCAGUGUCAGUCUUCUGCGGAAGAAAUGGAUGAAGAGAUUUCACUCCCCACCUUACCAUCUAUCAGGUUAAAGAUGAACACCUUCUAUGACGCCCAGGUGGAGUUUGUGAAAAAUCCUUCUGAGUUUUGGAUUAGGUUGAGGAAACACAAUGGCACCUUCAGCAAACUGAUGAAGAAAAUGUGCAGUUUCUAUGCCUCUGCCAGUAAGCUGGAUGGGGUCAUCUUGAAACCCGAAGCCGAUGAUCUUUGCUGUGUCAAAUGGAAAGAAAAUGGCUACUUCCGGGCUAUGGUCACCCGAUUAGACGACCAGAAUGUGGAUGUGUUCUUAGUUGACCGGGGCAAUUCAGAAAACGUGGACCGGUAUGACGUGAGGAUGCUGCUCCCUCAGUUUAGGCGGCUACCAGUAUUGGCCCUGCAGUGCACCCUGGCCGAUAUUUGGCCUUUGGAAGAAAACUGGAGCCAAGAGGCAAUUUCCUUUUUUAAAAAGACUGUGCUCCACAAAGAGUUAGUUAUCCAUGUCCUUGAUAAGCAGGAUAAUCAGUAUAUUAUUGAGAUUCUUGAUGAAUCAAGAACGGGAGAGGAAAACAUUAGUAAGGUGAUGGCUCAAGCUGGAUUUGCCAAGUACCACGAAUUUGAAACAAAGGACAGUCUUUCCGUAAGUGUCCACUCUCCAGGGCAUGUUUCAAACCAUUUUACCACAGACAGUAACAGAAUAUCUUCUGCCAAGAAGGAAGUAGAACAAAAAGCCGUGAGAGAUGGUAAAACUACAGCUGUUCCAGAAGUAGUGACUGACACAGCAGUUAUGACAAACGUUUCAGCUGGACUUGUGCAGGACAAUGAGAAAAGAAUGUCUGUUUACUCUCCUCUGGUACAGAAUUUCUUGGGAAUUGAGUCAGGCUCUUCUUGUAAAGGAGAGCUACAAGUUGGAACUACAGUCGAAGUCAGAGUAUCUUACGUUGAAAAUCCCGGCCAUUUUUGGUGUCAGCUGACCAGGAACACCCAAAGAUUUAAAGCGCUCAUGGGUAGUAUUCAGGACUAUUGCAACAACGCAGCUCCUCCCCACCAGGGAACUACUCCUGCUUGUUUGGCAAAACGAACAGCAGAUGGAAAAUGGUCCAGAGCUCUAAUUACUGGGGCACAAUCUUCAGAGUAUGUCAACAUCAUAUUUGUAGAUUAUGGGGACAAAGAAAUGAUAUCUGUGAAGAAUAUUUAUUCAAUUACUGAAGAGUUUCUGAAGGCUAAGGUUCAGGCUUUUAGGUGCAGCCUUUAUAAUUUAAUUCAGCCAAUGGGACAAAAUCCUUUUCUUUGGGAUGAAAAAGCAAUCCAAGCUUUUAUUGAAUUUAUAGAUAAUGCACGGGAAAACAAUCUUGAAUUAAAGUGCACAAUAUUUGCUCUGGCUUCCAUUCAUGAUGAACUGUUUAAUGUGGUGGAUCUGCUAACACCUUUCCGGAGUGUAUGCCAUUUUUUGGUACAAAAGAGACUUGCAAGACCAGUAAAACUUCAGAAACCUCUGGAGUUCUCCGUUCAGCUCCAUUCUUACUUCUAUUCUACCUAUGACAUGAAAAUCGGAAGUGAAGAAUCAGUGUACAUAACACAUGUUGAUGACCCUUGGACAUUUUAUUGCCAGCUGGGAAGAAAUGCAAGUAUUUUAGAACAGCUGUCCCAUCAUAUUACACAAUUAAGUCAAGUUUUGCUGCAUUUAAGAACAUCUCACUUAGUCCCCGGCACAUUGUGCCUUGCCAAGUAUACUGAUGGAAACUGGUGUAGGGGGGUAAUCAUAGAAAAAGAACCAAAUAAAGUAUUCUUUGUUGAUUUUGGGAACAUUCAUGUGGUAACAAGUGAUGAUCUGUGCCCAGUGCCUAGUGAUGCGCACAAUGUCUUACUUUUGCCCAUGCAAGCCAUUAAAUGUUCAUUAUCUGAUGUUCCCGAUCAUAUACCAGAAGAAGUUACAGCGUGGUUUCGGGAGACUGUUUUAGAUAAGUCAUUGAAGGCUCUGGUCGUAGCGAAAGAUCCAGAUGGAAGACUGAUUAUUGAACUAUACAAUGAUAGCAUUCAAAUUAAUGCUACUAUUAACGAGAAGUUAGGGCUCCGGGGUUACAAAGGUGGGACAAGGAGAAGAAAAAGCAAAGCACUCCUCUCUACAACUGAAACUCUUGAAGUGAAAAAGGAAGAUGUGAAGUUGUCACCUACAGAGUAUUUAAGUAAAUCAGAGAACAAACCAGAGAGUAUGGCACUCUUAGGAGAAACAUACAAACCUAAGAUCAGCUCAGCAUGUAGGGAACUCAAAUUUUUACAGAGUUCAACAAAGACAAGCUUAGUCACUCCGCACCAGGACUCCGUGGGAAAUAAAAAUAAUCAAGUGUCUCCAUCAACAACAGACAAGAAAUCAGAAAGUUCGGCGGAGCCCUCCUUGAAAGCCACAAAACUAGAAGCCUCUCUUUCAGAGAGAAAGCUAAGAGAUUCAUGUGACAGAGGUUUGCCUCUAAAGAUUUCUGAGCUCCCUAAAAAGGCCAUAAUGCCUGGAUUUAAAACAACUGUGUAUGUUUCUCAUGUAAAUGACCUUUCAGACUUUUACGUUCAGCUAACAGAAGAUGAGGCUGAAAUUGAUCAUCUUUCAGAGAGGUUAAAUGAUACUAGAACAAGGCCUGAAUAUUAUGCAGGCCCACCUUUGCAAAGAGGAGAUGUAAUAUGUGCUGUUUUCCCAGAAGACAAUUUAUGGUAUCGUGCUGUGGUCAAGGAACCACAACCCAAUGACCUUCUCUCUGUGCAGUUUAUAGAUUAUGGCAAUGUCUCUGUGGUUCACGCAAACAAAAUAGGCAAACUUGACCGUGUUAACGCGCUGUUACCAGGACUGUGCAUUCCCUGUUCCUUAAAGGGAUUUGGGGUUCCUGGGCUUUUAAACCAUAAGGAAGUGACGCAUUACUUUUCCCGAAGGACAGAUGAGGCUCCGAUAAGAUGCGAAUUUGUUCAGUUUCAAGACAAAUGGGAAGUUACUCUUGCUGAUGAACAUGGGAUCAUAGCCGAAGAUAUAGUGAGCAGAUAUGCAUUCAGUGAAAAAUCUCAACUAGAAUUUUCUACCCAGAUAGUUCAAGGGGCCUGUUCCACAUCGGUCAGCAAAACAGACGUAGACACUUCUAUGUUUCUUAACUGGUAUAAUCCAAAGAUGAAGAUGAUUAGAGCUUAUGCCACGGUGAUCGAUGGACCUGAAUAUUUUUGGUGUCAGUUUGCGGAUACCAAGAAACUUCAGCAUUUAGAAGUGGAAGUUCAGACUGCGGGAGAGCAGGCGACAGAUCAGAGAAGUCGUAUCCACUGCCCUCGUAUUGGAGAUCCUUGCAUAGUGAGAUACAGAGAAGAUGGGCAUUAUUAUAGGGCCCUUGUCACCAGCAUUUGUGAAGAUUAUCUUGUGUCCAUCAGGCUUGUGGACUUUGGAAACAUUGAAGACUCCGUGGACCCAAAAGCACUCUGGAACAUCCCUUCUGAGCUUUUGGCUGUGCCCAUGCAAGCCUUUCCAUGUUGCCUCUCAGGAUUUAAUAUUUCACAGGGCGCAUGCCCUCGUGAGGGAUGUGACUACUUUUAUGAAAUAGUCACAGAAGAUGUGUUGGAGAUAACAAUAUUAGACAUCAAAAGGGACGUUUGUGAUAUCCCUUUAGCCAUCGUUGACUUGAAAAGCAAAGGUGAAAGCAUUAGUGAGAAAAUGAAGAAAUAUUCUAAGAUUGGUAUGACUGGCAGUGAUCUGAGAUAUGAAAAAAAUGAUGCAGAAAUAAAGGGAGCUCUCGUGUUCCCCAGUCCCGAUGUUGGACUUAAGAAAUCAAUCAGUAAACUUGGACAAGAGAGAAUACUCCAUGUUGAAUCCCAGACAGCUGAGCUCUUGGAAAGACUCAACAAAGACUUAAACAUCCUUGAAACGCAACCAGGUAAAUUCUAUGACCCCAAAACUGAUAACAUUUUUGAAGCUUUUGAAAACCCAGGCAAAGAUAAGGUUGGCACUGAGUUGCUGGAAGAAAAAAUCAAGGGCCUAUUUGGUGACAAAGCAAAGUUUGAUGAUAAGUCCCCAAUGUCAGGAUUUAACACAUUCUUACCACAUGCCACCGAAGCAAAGGAGGUCCUGGAACUAAAUUCUCUCGAGGUACCACUUUCUCCUGACGACGAGUCCAAAGAGUUCCUGGAGCUGGAAUCCAUUGAGUUGCAGCAUUCCCUGGUCGGGGAUGAGGAGAAAGAAGAUCUGGGCCUGGUGCCUCCAACCAUGACUCUUCCCCAAGGCUGUGACCCAGAGGUCACCCUGCCACCAUUGCCAGGGCAGCUGCCCCUCAACUGUGAAGAUGAGAAACAGCCUGAGCUAGAAUUGCCUGCAGCCCAGCUGUGUCUGGAGGACAGAAUAAACCCUUUGUCUUUAACAGUUAGUCAGAAAGCCCAGGAAUCCCUGUGCACUGAAGACGUGAGAGGAUCCAGUUGUGCGGAAAGCUCUGAUGAGGAGCGUAGGCUGCGCCUGCGCAGACAGACUUUCGAUGCCAAGAUGCAGAUUGAAAUGAGUAUCUAUAAAGAAGAAUUUACAGAGUGUACAAACAGAGAUGCCAUGUCAUCACUGACCACUCUGUUUUCUGAAGAAGAAUACAGAGAUGCAAGGAAACACAAUUACACCUUACCAGAUCAUAUCCCAGCUCAACCAGAGAACGCGUACACUCUGAAAGGAUUUACUGUUGGAUCCAAAUGUGUUGUGUGGUCAAGUCUCAGAAACACGUGGUCUAAGUGUGAGAUUUUGGAAAUAGCUGAAGAGGGCACAAAGAAAAGAGGCCUGGAGAUGAUGGAGAUUUAA